GACGUAGGGCGCGAGCGUUGUCCGGAUUUAUUGGGCGUAAAGAGCUCGUAGGCGGCUUGUUACGUCGACUGUGAAAACCCGCGGCUCAACUGCGGGCCUGCAGUCGAUACGGGCAGGCUAGAGUUCGGUAGGGGAGACUGGAAUUCCUGGUGUAGCGGUGAAAUGCGCAGAUAUCAGGAGGAACACCGGUGGCGAAGGCGGGUCUCUGGGCCGAUAUUGACGCUGGAGGAGCGAAAGCGUGGGGAGCGAACAGG
rnacentral:rRNA from 1 species